AUGGCGAAGAUGGUAGCUCCUCUGAAUGGCAAGCAAAACCAUGGGAAGCAUUACUACACGAUGGACCAGACGAUGUUUGAGAUCGACACCAAGUACGUGCCGAUCAAGCCCAUCGGAAGUGGAUCUUAUGGGGUAGUUUUCUCAUUCAUGAACAAGGAUACGAACGAGAAGGUCGCGAUAAAAAAGAUAAACAACGUAUUUGAUAGCCGUGAGGAUGCACUGAGGACGCUGCGCGAGAUGAAGCUCCUCCGGCACUUGACUCAUGAGAAUGUCAUUGCUUUGAAGGAUGUAAUGAUGCCAAUACGGAGGAGGAGCUUCAAGGAUGUCUACUUGGUGUCUGAACUCAUGGACACCGAUCUACAACAUAUCAUCAACUCGUCUCAAACGCUUUCCAAUGACCACUGCCAAUAUUUCCUUUUUCAGCUGCUUCGAGGGCUGAAGUAUCUUCAUUCAGCGAGAAUACUGCAUAGAGACCUGAAACCAGGAAACCUUCUGGUUAAUGGAAACUGUGACUUGAAGAUCUGUGACUUUGGUCUUGCUCGCACAAAUAACACAAAAGGCCAGCUUAUGACUGAAUAUGUUGGCACGCGCUGGUAUAGAGCUCCUGAGCUGCUGCUCAGCUGCAACAACUAUGGCAACUCCAUAGAUGUCUGGUCUGUUGGCUGCAUCUUUGCUGAGCUACUUGGCCGCAAGUCGAUCUUUCCAGGAACCGAUUGCCUAAAUCAGCUUAAGCUUAUAGUCAAUGUUCUUGGCACCAUGAGCGGUGCUGACCUUAAGUUCAUUGAGAACAAGAAAACUCGCAAGUACAUCAAAUCCCUUCCAUACACCAUCGGCAUUCCCCUCACUGGAAUGUACCCACAAGCACACCCUCUUGCCACGAUCUAUUGCAGAAGAUGUUAG
rnacentral:rRNA from 1 species